AAUAUUUAAACAAUGUUUUAUGUUCCAAUAUGCUUACUUUUCCAUUUUUCAAUAUUUUUUGAACUGCCUUAAUGUUCUGGGGAAACGGCAUGUUGUCGGUGGUCAAUAAAUACUUCUUGAGUGAAAGAAUCUAUUUUUUUGGACAUCAUAAAUCACUCAGAUUAUAAGAGGGCAAAGUUAUUUUGCAGUAUAUUUAUGGGAAUAGAGAACCAUGCAGGUUUUUUUCUUUCUUUCUUUUUGAGAUGGAGUGUUGCCCAAGGCUGGAGUGUAAUGGUGUGAUUUCGGAUCACUGUAACCUUUGCCUCCCGGGUUCAAGUGAUUCUCCUGCCUCAGCCUCCCGAGUAGCUGGGAUCACAGGUGCACACCACCACGUCCAGCUAAUUUUUGUAUUAUUAUUAUUAGUAGUAGUAGUUGUAGAGACAGGGUUUCACCAUGUUGGCCAGGCUGGUCUGGUCUCGAACUCCUGACGUCAGUGAUCCACCCGCCUCGGCCUCCCAAAGUGCUGGGAUUACAGGCGUGAGGCACCAUGCCCGGCCGAGAACCAUGCAGUUUUUAUUGAGUCUCCUUUCUCCCUCUGGUGGAGACAAAUGAGACCACAGCGGUAAAAGACUGUGGCAAGUGUAGCUUGAUGUUUAUAGUAAGAAAAAUCCAUGUUGUGGG
rnacentral:lncRNA from 1 species